rnacentral:rRNA from 1 species
UAAGACGAACCGUGCGAACGUUAUUCGGAAUCACUGGGCUUAAAGCGCGUGUCGGCGGCCCGACACGUCCGGUGCUGAAAGCCCCCGGCUCAACCGGGGAAUGGGCACGGAUACGAUCGGGCUCGAGGGGGGUAGGGGGAGCCGGAACUUCCGGUGGAGCGGUGAAAUGCGUUGAGAUCGGAAGGAACGCCCGUGGCGAAAGCGGGCUCCUGGACCCCGCCUGACGCUCAGACGCGAAAGCCAGGGGAGCGAACGGG